GAAUUUUGGACAAUGGGGGCAACCCUGAUCCAGCCAUCCCGCGUGUGCGAUGAAGGCCUUCGGGUUGUAAAGCACUUUUGGCAGGGAAGAAAAGGCUCUGGCUAAUACCUGGAGCUGCUGACGGUACCUGCCGAAUAAGCCACGGAUAACUACGUGCCAGCAGCCCCGGUAAUCCGUAGGGGGCAAGCGGUAAUGGGAACUACUGGGCGUAAAGCGUGCGCAGGCGGUUCGGCAAGAAGGAUGUGAAAUCCCAGGGCUUAACCUUGGAACUGCAUUCUUAACUGCCGGGCUAGAGUAUGUCAGAGGGGGGUAGAAUUCCGCGUGUAGCAGUGAAAUGCGUAGAGAUGCGGAGGAAUACCGAUGGCGAAGGCAGCCCCCUGGGAUAAUACUGACGCUCAUGCACGAAAGCGUGGGGAGCAAAC
rnacentral:rRNA from 1 species